rnacentral:rRNA from 1 species
GACAGAGGUCCCGAGCGUUAGGCGGAAUCACUGGGCUUAAAGCGUGUGUAGGCGGAUUGGUAAGUACCUUGUGAAAUCCCACGGCUUAACCGUGGAACUGCUUGGUAUACUGCUUAUCUUGGGCCACUUAGGGGUUACCGGAACAAACGGUGGAGCGGUGAAAUGCGUAGAUAUCGUUUGGAACGCCAAUGGUGAAAACAGGUAACUGGGAGUGUGCCGACGCUGAGACACGAAAGCCAGGGGAGCGAAACGGG